rnacentral:lncRNA from 1 species
GGGCGCGGUGGCGGGCGCCUGCAGUCCCAGCUACUCGGGAGGCUGAGGCAGGAGAAUGGCGUGAACCCAGGAGGCGGAGCUUGCAGUGAGCCGAGAUUGCGCCACUGCAGUCCGCAGUCCGGCCUGGGCGACAGAGCGAGACUCCGUCUCAAAAAAAAAAAAAAAAAAAAAAAAAAAAAACCGUAACACGCACAGCGAAGGUCUGAAGGUCUGCAGCUUUAGUCCUGAGCCAGCCAGACUAUGAACUCACCAGAAGGAAGAAACUGCGAACAUAUCCGAACAUCAGAGGGACCAAACCCCAGACGCGCCACCUUAAGAGCUGUAACACUCACUGCGAGGGGCUGUGGUUUCAUUCUUGAAGUCAGCCAAGACCAAGAACCCACCAAUUCCGGACACAGUAUCUUAUCAAUUACUGUGCCCAGCGCACUAACGGACGUUAAGUAACGAAUAAUCACCAACCUGAAGCUUGUUGCUAUCAUAAUUUCACUGAAGGGAAAAAUUGGGGCUGAAAGAAGUUAAGUCACCUGUUCAAGGGUAGAGCUAAUCAGCGGCAUGUUCAAAUAUAGGGUUGUUUCCGUAAUUUUGUAGUAGUCUAUUUGCCCAGAAAGGCAAAGGAAUAUUAAUUUUAGAAAAGGCUGCACCGAAUUCUGCCACCUGUGCAGGUAGCCUCCCUCUGGACUCCAGAUGCCACUGUGAUUACCCCAUUCUGACCCACUCUUGGAGCUUCCUGUCACCAGCCAUCCAUUCUCUUCUCUGUCUUGGUUCACUCCUGAGGGCUUCCUGUGUUAUCCUAAUGUGCACCCUAAUGUACACAAAUCACUUUCACAGACAGUGUCAUGAGUAUGAGGUCUGGAGGCUAGAAGUCUGAAAUCAAGAAGUCUGCAUGCCCGUACUCCCUCCACAGGCUCUAGGGGAGGAUCCUUCCUUGCUUCUUCCAGCGUCUGGUGGCUCCAGUCUCUCAGUCCAUAUACCUAUGUGAAAUAAGAGAUCAUCUCUG